AUUGAACGCUGGCGGCAGGCCUAACACAUGCAAGUCGAGCGGAUGGAGGGAGCUUGCUCCUGGCUUCAGCGGCGGACGGGUGAGUAAUGCCUAGGAAUCUGCCUGGUAGUGGGGGAUAACGUCCGGAAACGGGCGCUAAUACCGCAUACGUCCUGAGGGAGAAAGUGGGGGAUCUUCGGACCUCACGCUAUCAGAUGAGCCUAGGUCGGAUUAGCUAGUUGGUGGGGUAAAGGCCUACCAAGGCGACGAUCCGUAACUGGUCUGAGAGGAUGAUCAGUCACACUGGAACUGAGACACGGUCCAGACUCCUACGGGAGGCAGCAGUGGGGAAUAUUGGACAAUGGGCGAAAGCCUGAUCCAGCCAUGCCGCGUGUGUGAAGAAGGUCUUCGGAUUGUAAAGCACUUUAAGUUGGGAGGAAGGGCAGUAAGUUAAUACCUUGCUGUUUUGACGUUACCAACAGAAUAAGCACCGGCUAACUUCGUG
rnacentral:rRNA from 1 species